rnacentral:rRNA from 8 species
UACUUAGUGGCAGACGGGUGAGUAACAUGUGGGUAUCUACCCUUUGGCCUGGAAUAACACGAGGAAACUUGUGCUAAUACCGGAUAAGUCUUUACGGAGAAAGCUUUAUGCACCAUUGGAUGAGCCCGCACUUGAUUAGUUUGUUGGUAGGGUAAUGGCCUACCAAGACUAUGAUCAAUAGCUGAUUUGAGAGGAUGAUCAGCCACAUUGGGACUGAGACACGGCCCAAACUCCUACGGGAGGCAGCAGUGGGGAAUCUUGCACAAUGGAGGAAACUCUGAUGCAGCGAUGCCGCGUGAGUGAAGAAGGCCUUUGGGUUGUAAAGCUCUUUCGUCGGGGAAGAAAAUGACUGUACCCGAAUAAGAAGGUCCGGCUAACUUCGUGCCAGCAGCCGCGGUAAUACGAAGGGACCUAGCGUAGUUCGGAAUUACUGGGCUUAAAGAGUUCGUAGGUGGUUGAAAAAGUUGGUGGUGAAAUCCCAGAGCUUAACUCUGGAACUGCCAUCAAAACUUUUCAGCUAGAGUAUGAUAGAGGAAAGCAGAAUUUCUAGUGUAGAGGUGAAAUUCGUAGAUAUUAGAAAGAAUACCAAUUGCGAAGGCAGCUUUCUGGAUCAUUACUGACACUGAGGAACGAAAGCAUGGGUAGCGAAGAGGAUUAGAUACCCUCGUAGUCCAUGCCGUAAACGAUGUGUGUUAGACGUUGGAAAUUUAUUUUCAGUGUCGCAGGGAAACCGAUAAA